ensembl:snRNA U6 U6 spliceosomal RNA
UUGCUUAGGCAGCAAAUACACUAAAAUUGGAAUGAUACAGAGAAAAUUAGCAUGGCCCCUGCACAGGGAUGACAUGCAAAUUCACAAAGUAUUCCAUAUUUGU